ACACAGAUAAAAAUGUUACCGUUCAGCACACAGCCUUACUAGAAAUGUUUUGUUGUUUUAAUUUUAUGCAACCCUGUCUUUAUUAUUUUUUAAUUGUACGUGUAGUUUUUCCAAUAUUAAAUAUAUAUAUACAGUCAAACCUGGUUAAGAGAGAGUUCAAGGGAUCAUGAUUUUUUUCUCGCUUAUAGAGGUUUCUCACUAAAACGACAACACGUUGAUUUUUCGUAUUUCGUAUUAUAAGUUGUUGUAAGAGUUGUACUGUUCGUGUUAAAUAAUAUUUAUGAACUGCAGUGAGCAUGAUAAUUAAGUUAAUACAGUUAAAUAUUAUAUCUUUGAAUUAAAAGAAAACAACAUAGUUCCUGAUUCGUGAAAAAAAGAAUGAGACAUAAAUAGGAAAAUUGUAGCUUAUAGAGGUAAAUACAAAAGAGGUUCUCAGUUAUAGAGGUCAGAGUGGGAAAAACGACUGUCACUUAUGGAGGUUUUGGUUUCUCACUCAUAGAGGUUUUUGAGUGGUCAAAAUUCGGGACCUGAGAAUUAUUCUCACUUAUAGAGACUCGCUUACCCAGUUCUCUCUUACUCAGGUUUGACUGUUUAUAUGUAUGCAUGUAAAUAGGAGUUUUAUAUCGUGAAUAAUUUAAUAGUUCUUCAUAUUCAUAUUCUGCCUCUGGUUGUGUAGUUUUUUUAUUUUAAAGCCCUACUGUAAUCCUUUGUACAUAUAUUUUAUGAACAAUUAUUAUAGUAAAUAAGUCAAGUUUUUUUUUACACAUCUGGUUUUAAAAUAAAUGUUCACAAUAGUUAGCUUGGAUGUGGUAACAUUUCAUUUAUGAAAUUAAAGGUCUCCAAACUUAAAAAGAAAAUAUUAGUUGUCCCUUUCAUCAGCAGAAUACAAUUAGAAAAAGCGGUAAAUUAAGUACAUAACUGUCUUGCAUUAGUUUCAUUGACUAAAAAAUUACAAACAGUUCCCUAAAAGAGUAUUUAUUAUCUCGGAAUGCAUAAAUUGACAACUGUUGUGGAAAUAAUCACUUUAUUUGUUCGUAUUAUAUGAUCAUCAGUAUUUAUUACAUAGGCAACAUUGAUAGCCCGAAAAUCUACCGAAUACGAAAUGCAUCGACAUCAACGAGUGGGCGGUUGAAGUGCUGUCCUGCUUAUGCACAUUGUUAUUUCUCUCCUGGCGGGUCGUUGAGCCGAUGAACGCGUUUUGACAGCACUGCUCUAGUAUAGAAAAGUUUCGUAUUUCGUGUUGGUCGUCAACAAAUUUUCACAAUGUAAAGACAUUAAUAUCUCCUAUAAUUUACAUUGGAAAUCGGCAAAUGUGAUUGAAAAAUAUCGUUGAAAUGAUUAUUGUCUAAAGACAAUAGAAGUAAACGUAGUUGGCGUUGAUUAAUAAACAAAUAUAAGAUUUGUAAAUGCAGUUAACUAAAUUCAUGUCAGCAGCAAGUUUUCAUUUGAUUGUUUUUUUUUGUAAGUGAAAUGAAUGAAUCUCCAAAGAAAAGAAGUGCUCGAGUUGAAUCUGUAGUACGUUCUAUUGUGUUUGAUAAGUGCAAAUAAGCCUUGUGUUGACAAGCACAUUUGGAGAUUAUGCAGUUUACUAAUUUUAUUGAGAUCAAAAAAUUUAUUAAAGUGAAGUAAUUGAAAAGUGAGUUGUGUACAUACAUAGUGAAAAAUUAAGUAAACGAAAUUUCUUUGUAUGCUCAUAUAAUAAGACUAGUGCAGUAUUGAAGUUUAUUGUGAAUGAGAACUAUGAAAGCGAUGCGUUCUAAUAUUGAGUAAACCCCACUACAGUUGUUUAAAAUAGAGAUGUUUCGUCAGCGGUAGAAUUUAAAUAUUUAAUUGCUUGUGCUAACUAAUCAUGUGAAGUGUUGUAAUUAAUCUGAUGGAAGUAUCCUAAAUACUGUGAGUUAUAAAAAAGUACAGCACAAAAUCAGCAAUUUAAAGUACACAAGUUGUAAGUUUGAUUGACCAUUGUUGCAAACAUGUCAGAAGACAACGCUUUUAAGGAUGGUGACAUCGUUUGGGUUAAACUGGGCAACAACUGGUGGCCCGGUGAAGUAACCGAUGUGCAUCGCCAACCUGAUGACCUUCUCAAACAACUAAGGAAGAAACCCUAUUGCGUUGUAAAAUUUUUCCAAGAAGAUGCCUAUGAAUAUAUAAAGAGUGCAAAACAAAUAUUUCCUUUCCAAUGCAGCAAAAAAGAUGAGUUCAUUAAAAAGGGGACGGCUUUAUAUAAUGCCAAAAAUAAAUUUAUGGAGAAGUUUCCUUCAGAUGUGGAGAUCGCUGAACGUUUAACACGUAAAGCUAUUGAUUCAGAUUUGUUGAUUAUAAAUGAUCGUCCAGAUAGCAUUGUCAAGGCAAUACUAGGACCAACUUUUACACGACGUAGUAAUGAUUAUUACGACAAUGAAUACAUCCAUAGUUCUACCAAUGACUACAACAAUAAGCGCAGAAGUGGGGAUUCUGUAACAAAAAUCCUCAACAUUACACCAAAACGUACAACCACAACAACAAUAACAACAAACCGUACUCCAGAUAUAGGAAAAUCACUAGCUUCACCGCAUAUCACUUCAAGUUUCGUAACGAACUCUACUCCCAGCAGUGCUGAAACGAAUUUUUAUCGAUGUAAUCUGUGCGAUUUCUCUAGCCAAAGACAAAAUGUCAUGAUAUUACAUCGACGCACACAUAGCUGUACUGGCACGCCAACAUCCGCACAGACACCUUCAACGUCCAAUGCACGGAAGAUACCUUCGGCUACUAUAACGUCAGAAAGCGAGUCUAAGAGCUAUAUCGCUGCGAUGACUUGGAAGCUUCAAUCGCCUGCAACAUCUUCGAAAUGCGAACCUAACUCUUUGAGCGAAGAUGAUGAUCAAAAAUAUUCUGCAAUACUUGACACCAGGACAUUUCACAUAGCAAAGUCCACAAAAAGUGAAAUCUUGUCACCGGUGAAUAGUCGAAACGUUAGUGGCACCAAACACAAGCCUUAUCCGCUGGCCGGAAGCGAAAGAGCAAGUCGGUCUGCUGCUGCAAGCACGUCGCGGGAGAAAUCAUACACAUCGUUGCGAAUUGAUGCCGAUGUAAAAGAAAUUACUUUACCCGACGGAAUGCCGGUUUCUUCCAUAAAGGGAGAGCUUAAAUUGAGUAUUGAAGAUGAUACCACCGAUAACUCAUCGUCACACACGACGGAGGACUUGUUGAGAUCAUGCAGUCCGCGAAAGCGCAACAUUGAUUCUGGUGAAAUUAUGGAUAACAAAUCGACCAUGUUGAAAAGUACGGCUGAAGAAAUGCGCCUGCGGCUACUGGCUGAUUGGAGCGACGGUGAAAAAGAGGAUGAGUUGGUUGACGGUGUAAAACUGAAUUCCAAUCUGGAAAUGCCUUCAAAGAUGGAAACACCACAAUACAAACUAGAUAAGUUAACAACAACGUCAACAACUGAAGUGAAAAGUGAAAACAGUUCAUUUGAUUUGGCGACACGAAUAUGUGCGACAAUAAAUAACUUUGGUGCACAAACUUCAAAUCAGACUCAACAUCAAAAUCGUAUUAGAAACAUACCGAAGAAGGAUCGACGUGACGCCGUAUUAAAAGAAUUCAUAAAUGAUUAUACUGUAGAGUUGCCCACAGUAGUUGAAAAUAUGGAGAAUAUAAACUGUAAUAGCAGCAGCAGCUCCGAUUCGGUGGUUGUAGUAGGGGUUGUGCCACCAAAUAGUGGUGAAACAAUUAUUCUCGAUGACAACACUGGCACUGAUGGUGAAACAGAAUCAACGGUUGGCAAAGAUGGAUUGGUGAGAAAUGAAGCAUCGAAGAAUAAUAUACAAUUCAAUUAUAUUACAAUAGAUAAAAUAAAUGUUGCGCGCGUGGUACAAGAAGAACAUUUAUCUGAGGAACAUCUAGAGGAGUCGAAUAUAGAAACGGAAGUACAAGUGCCAAUGGAAUGCACUGACAUAUCAGCUAACCAAGAGCAAGUGUCAGAACUUGAAGAUAGACAAAAUGAAGAAUUUCAGUCGGAGCAACAAGAAAACGCAGAAACAUUAACUUUAGUUUCCAACGAAACGGGAGAACUUGAAUUUGAAACCACUGAGGAAAAUGUACAAAGCGAACCGAGACAAGAAAUUAAAAACUUGAAGUCAGAAAGCGAAAAUGUGAAGCAACCGAAACAAAAAAGUCGCGGGAAGGGACAAAAAUCAAAUAAAAGACAGAAGAAUCCAAAGGAAAUUCUUAAAGAUAGUUUUGAAAAUACAACAGCAAAUAAAAUGGUAGAGGAAUUGCCAAACGUACAUACUGCACAUGAAAUAGUGGCAGAACUUACCCCAGUGUCACCACAGUGCUUAAAAGAAGAAGAGCAACCUCAGACCAGCGCGCCUGUGAACCCACGUACCGAUUGCUUUGAUUUUCAAGAUGAAGAAGAUGAUACUAGCAGCGAUGCUUUAAAAUCUAUAGCCGAUUUCAAAAAGAAAUAUCUUUCCCCGGAGAAAGGACAAGACAAAUCUCAGACUGAUAAUAGCAUAUUGCCCGAAAACGAACGACGACUUUCAAGUGAGCAGAGGGAUCAACAGCUGGCGGAUGACAUCGAAAAAUUGCUUGAACAAACAACAGCACCCAAUAUUGCUGAGGAGGGAUGUCUCGCGGUUGUUUCCCCAACACAGUCUUUCGGUAGCACCAAGGAGGAGUUGCCAGUUAAGGGCUUACCGAUUAAGGAACGAGGUAAACGUAUAUUCAAGUCUCGUAAUCGCUCAAGGAUUGAAGAUCCGCCUACAUCAACAGCAGAUAGUUUGGAAAUUGUUUUGUCAGGGCAAGCAAUUGCUACAGUGACAAAAAUGGACGAAAAUGGAAUGGUGACAGUUACUGAGCAACUCCAACUCGAGGAAAAAAAUAAGUUUAGUGAGAAAGUUGAAUCGGAGAUAAAAGCUAAGCAACAAAAACAAUCUGCUUCUAUAGAUGGCGUCGAUGAGUAUGAAAAUGCAUACCAAUCUGCGGCAUUUACAGCACCUGCGUUAGAAAUGAAUGAUGUAAAAACGAAUGAUUUUCAAGUAAUGGAACAAGAUAAAGAGAACGAAGGAAAUGUUGAAAUCGUGCGCCUCGAUUCCGUCGAGGAAACUACUAUUUUAAAAGUAAAAAAUUUAAAAAAUGGUUCAUUAGCUACUCCUAAUACGACGAUAGAGGUCUUACAUUGUGCAAGCUUGGAACAAAAGAAAUCCACAAUUAUAGAAAAUAAUGAAACAAAUUUAUGUCCAACAGAGACACAGAUUUACAAUCCUGAUGAUUUACAAUUCUCAAAGCAAAAUAUUGAAGACACAGAACAAAAGAACGGAUGUGAAACCGAAAAUUUAGAGCCAAUUAAGGAGGACAAUGUAAAAGAACCUCAAAAUUUUUCACCACAUGAGAAACUUGAAGAUGAACUGAAAACACUAAAAGAGCAUAAUAAUACUGCCGACAAUGCGGCAUCCUUAGAGGGCAUUCAAGAAACCUGCGAUGAACCGACUCGUGCAGUCGAGCAAGAAAGUCUCAAAGAGAAGUUUAAAUCUAAUGCUACAACCGGAAGAGAAAUGAUAAAUGAAGAUUUUAGUAAUGAUUUAAAAAUUCUUCCACCCACAACGGCAUUGCCUAAUAUACAGAAUGAAAUAAUAUUGAUCGAUACAUAUACGGCAGUAGACAAAGAACAAUCUGUAGUCGCGGUCAUAGAGCAACAGACAAAUAAUGGUGAUAAACAGUUGGAACAAGAAACGGAGAAUUGUUUGGUUGUAAAUAUGAAGAAUGAUGUAGUGGAAGAACAACAACAAUGCAUCAUGUUGUUAGGGGAAGAAGUACCACAAAGUCGCCUCACUUCGCCAACUGACGACAACAGUUCGAUUUGCAUUUCAGAAGCGGGUGCAGAGUUUGGAUCGCCCACCUCAAUGUUAGACGAUGAACGUUUGCCAACGUUGACUGAUAGGCUGAUGACACCCACCGAUGGGUUGGUUGAGACAAUACCUACACGAACCGAAGAGUCUAAAAUACUAGUUGAACAAGAAAUGAAUGUUGAAGGAGAACAUGAAAAUGUAAGCGAUAGACAAAAUAAAAAGAUAGAAUCAAUAGACAAAGUUCUUGUACCAUUGAUUGAAGGCAAAGAAGUUGCAAUAACUAAAAUCCAGAAAAUAUUGGGAGAGGUAGUAGAAGACAUAGUACGUAAAAGUGAAAUGAAUGAAAAUGAAACCCAUACAGCUGUGGAAGAAUGCGAUGGAAAUGCUAAAGAUGAAAACACCAGUUUCAUAGCAACAAGCGUACCAAAAAAUAUGGAAUCUGAAUUGGAAGAAGAGGAGCUUUUGAAAGAGAAAAAUCAGAAUAACCGCGAAACAAGUGAUGUGAAUAACUCUCUUAUUGAACAUUCAGAAAUUUCCGAAAACAAUAAAAAUGAUAAGUCAAAUUUUUUAGAAUGCAAUGAUAAUGUAGUUAAUACACCGCGUAGUGGAACCGAUGAAAUUCAUUUAAAGUGUGUAGAAAUUAGGAAGCCUGAAAUCCAAAACCAAACUGAAAUUGUUAAAGAAUUGACGUGUGAAGUCCCAUUCGAGACACAGCAGAAAGAAACUGAAACAGGAGACAUUGUGAAUAAUGUUAUUGAAGAGCAUAAUGAAGAGAACGAAAAUCACCUGUCAAAGGAGGAAGACAACAUUGUGGAAAAUAAAUUAAUUGAAGAGCAGUUGCAGAUUGAAAAUGGCGCAAAACAAGAAGGCGACAAAACACUGAGCACGGAUUUUUUAAAUAAUGAAGUGUCUAAUGAAGCAUUAGCUAAAGAUUUUGAGCAUGCACAGCAUGAGUAUUCCGAUGCAGAUGACGAUUUCAUCGAGAGUCCACCUCAUGAGCCGCUUUCCGGACAUGAAGGGGAAGGUGAUACAGAAAAAUCUGCGCCAAAACCAAAAUUAUUGAAUAAAACACAUAAGCGUCGUGCAAAUGCAACACAAGAUAAAUUGAAUAUACAAGUUGAGGCUAAGGUGGAUCCUAAUAAAUCUGUAACAUCGAAUUCAGUAAACAACUCAACAAAAUCAUUUUCCGAAUUUACCAAAGAUAAAACCAGUAGAAAACGACAGGCCCGAUCGGCGAAACAACGGCAAGAGAGAUCGAAUGAUUUUAUGAAAGAGCUGGAUUUAUCAGAUUUAAAUGAGAAAAAUAAUACGACGCUAUGUCAAAACCAACGAAAAGCAAUGAAAGUUGCAAAAUUAGCGGAAAAAGAAACCGAAACAUAUACAAGAAACGAUGAUGUUGUUGUUGCAGGAGAACCAAAAGAUGCUGUCGCCGAUCAAAUAGGAGUUGAUAACCUGAAUAUAACAACUUCACAAAUACAAAAUGAAAAAUCUGAACCCAAAUUGAUCGUUUUGUCCACCGAUACAUGCGGUAAUCCACAACCACACGAGCAGGUUAUUGAAUUACCAACUGGCCAAGCUGCCGUAAAUUUCACACCUACAGUAAAAUUUGGAUGUUCUCGCAAACGACGUAGCGCUACAAAACCAGCUCCUCGACGUAAUGUGGUCGCGGUCCAAAAUUUAGUAAUACAAGAGAACGAUUUAAAUUACGAAGAAGAGGGCGUACAGCGUGUGAAGAGUAGAAAUGUAGAGAACCCAAAUAUCAACAAUACAAGUAUUGAAAAUAUGCAAACAGAUGAGGAGAUCAAAACUACGCCAAAUGAGAUAACAAACUAUGAAGAUGAAAAUAAGAGUAAUUAUUUGGAGGAAGUGGAAGGGUCAGAACAAACCGUCGAAUGUAAUGAUAAUGAACCAGCAGACUCUCUUAUAAUAGAGGACGACCAGUGCAUAAUUGAAGAAGUAUACCUAAAUGAUACAGUGUCAGUGCAACAAAUAGCAAUUGAGGAAUCGCCAGAUAAUGAUACCACAAAAGAUGAAAACACUUCAGAAUCAACCGCCUCAGAGUUAAAUUCGUUUCCUUCUAUUGAUGAACAAAACGCAGUGGAAUAUGUGAAUUACUCUUCAAUUGAACAUCAACAACCGAUCGAAGAGGUAAUAGUUGGCGCUGCCAACACAGUAGAAGCGGCCACGGGCAUUGACUCGCUACAAAACAUGGACGAGAGCCCGAAUAUUGGAAAUGAGAUGUUAAAUAAGCGACUGGUAUCUCCCAUUAAUCCACAUUCUAAAGCAGAUAACACAUGUAUCAAUAUUUCUCCCAUGGAGAAGGUCCGCAUCAACGUAGAUGUUGCCAAUCCACUCUCCACACAAAUAGCAAAUAUUUUAGCCACAAAAUCUGCCGCUGGUGCAACAUUAACGGCAGCAGCAGCAAAGCAAAGGAAGUCUAAUCUCGAAGAAUCUAUACCAUCAUUUAUAAUCGAACGACCAGGACAAGGGGUGGGUUCACAUAAACAACAACAACAACAUGCAUCAUCUUCCGGUUUAGAGUUUAUUGGUGAGCAAGAUGCUGUUGCACAUGUACAGCAAAUGUGCCCCCAGGUUAAAAUCACACGCAAAGAAAAAUUGAUUGAAGUAGCGCAAACAGCUGCCCUGGUACAACAGGAACAAGUUGGUGCAGCUUCUGGCGCUAUGUUCGACAUCAGCAAUAUGCCGAUAGUGCUUGGUAAUGAGCAUUUUAUGUCAGCACAGGGUGAUAUGCAAAUUGUAUUGACAUCAUCCGCAGAAACGGAACAACAUUUAGGUUCAGAUGGCCCACAGAUUUUACAACAACAAAUUAUACAACCUGCGUACAGAUCGACACAGCAAACUUCUCAGCAACGGCAACGCAAACGAUCCACAAGUCAACAGCAGCAGCAACAGCUGCAACAAACGAGCAGCGUGGGAGCUAAUAAGCACGGUAUAAUUUUAAUCAAGGCAGCGCCGAGUGAUUUGAUAAUACAACAGACACCUUCAGUUCAAGUGACCCAUGCGCAAUCGCAGGCGGUUGCCGGUGGUGCUACACAACAAUUCUCUACAUCAUCCUCCGAUACAAUGACCACAUAUAACCUCGGUUCCGGUGUCACCUUGCGCCCAAUAGCUGAACCGAAACAAAAACAACAGCAACGCCAACAACAGCAACUUCAGCAGCAGAAGCAGCAACUGACUGGUAAUAAGUCAAAGCCCACGGCGUCCUCAUCAACCGGUGGCCGCAAACACGCUGGCAAUACAAUAACAUUGCCAAGCAGUAUUACAGUGAAGCAUCGGCAACAAAAAAUUACGGAGGAUCCAUCAAAUGCAGUAGGAAGCGCAACAACAGCAAAUGCAGUGCUUAAUGAGCAACCACCGCAACUAACUCCGUCGACAAAUGCAAGCAGCGGCUGUAAAGCGCAGAAGCGUAACUACCCAACAAACUCAAAACGCUCACAAACUCAGUCACAGAUAGUUCAUCAACGACGAUUAACUGCUACGGCGAGCAAUUUGGUGGAGCUUCAGCAGCAAAAUCUACAACAAUCUACUAGCGACGAUUGUGCAUCUCUAAAUAGGCGAUUAAGUCAUUCAGACGGACAUGCACCACCGCCAGCAAAAAUAUCUCGAAGCCCCGCUGCUGGCACAUCUACAUUGGACAACCACAACGAGCCAACAUUUGCAGCAACGGCGGAACAACAACUUUUGCAACUGCAGCAGCAGCAAUUACAACAUGCAGUACAAUCUCCGACGGCGACACAGCCACCGCCACUACAUCCUCUGCACAAUCGCAAGCAACGUCAUUCAUCACAACACAAUCGACGAAUGAGUACGAAAACCGAGUUGUCAGCACAAAUGUGCUUGCAAGAACAACAGCAGCAGCAGCAACAACGAUUACAGUCAACGCAGAUGGUAUUGUUGGAUCAACAGCAACAACAAAGUUUGGAACAUCAACACCAAGAGCAACACUUGACUGCAGUUCAUAUAGCAGAGUUAGCAUCGGCGUCGCCGUCGACUGAAAUUAUUCCUGCGGAGUUUGAAGCAAUACAAAUGCAAGAGCAAGUGCCUGAAGUAUACACCGAAGAGAUUUUAGCUGAAGAAUUUGAAGCAAAUGAGCAUACACCAUCAGUAAUAGCCGUGCCGGCACAGUCAGUACCAGGCUACCCCGACACGUUAUUAUUAUGUCGAAAAGUAGGUGAGGAGUGGGUGCCGAUAGUUGCUCAGCCUUAUUACUAUACACGCUGUGACCAACAACUAAGGCCCAUACCAAAGGAAGUACUUAUCGGACAUCCGAUAUUGACGCCGAAUGCUGAUAAAACACCGGAUUUCCAUACUGCCGAAGUAGAUACGGAAGAUGUGCAGACGGCCCCUGCUAAUGAAGCGUACAAAGGAGAGACUGGGGUUACCAUUUUAAUUGGCUCUGAAUUAGUACAUAUGGAAUGGGAUCAGUUUUUGGAGGUAAUGCGUUCUACUGAUGAUUUGUUUGAUUUGCGCGAUCACCUUGGACGCGUAUUCCAGCUGACGCGGGAUGCAUUAGAUACCCUCCAACAGGAUGUUAAUUUGCAAGAAAAAUUUCGGCAACUGCAGCAGUUGUUGGAAGAACAACAAUUAGAGGAGCAACAGCAACUGGAGCAACAAGAGUUAUUGCAACAACAAUUCAUACAGCAGUUGCAAACAGUUACAGUAGCUGGAGAUGAAGGAUUAGAAACCGAUAUCAUACCAUUGCUACAAAUAGACACAUCGCAAACGUUACAACUUAUAGGAACGGAUGACGGUAGUCUUAUACUUCAAUCGGCUCUGACGCAACCACCACUUUCACCUCCAUGCACGCGCCCUGCUCUAACAAAUGCGACAAAUGCGUUGCUAAACCAAACGCCCAUUAUGUCGCCGCUGGAGAAGCCAUCUACAGCGGCUAAUACAGCUUUGAUAGCCGAAAAUUCGGGACAACACAUCGACCUGUCCUCAGCAACAACAGCCGACCAUCUUGGUGCAGGUGGUUUUAUUGCGUCCGAUUCAGGAAGUGGCAUGCCAAGUUUGGGCGAUAGUCUGGCCGUUAUAGGAGUUGUGCCCACACAACCUACACUGCUGCCCACCACCGUUACCAAUCCAGCGAUUGCGCCGCCAAAGUCUGAUUUAAUACCCAACAUGACAACGGCAGCCCAAAUGCACGCGCAAUACCGACAUGCACAACGUGCAAUAUACAAUGAUCCUGGGAGUUAAUAUUGUUCCAAUGUGCUCUAUUUAGACAAUGUCCACAAUGGUCUAUUAGAGAAUGUGCGAAGGACAGGCAAUGCUGCAGGCGAAUGUGCGGACGGUGUUGGCAUGGGGGUGGAUGAAGUGAAUGAAAUGAAUGAUGAAAAUAUGGAUACAAAUGUGUUUUAAACGUAGCCUCUCUUAGCUGAGCAUAUCGGUGGUCUGAAGAAAGUAAGUUUUUCUUAAUGGACACAUACAAAACCAGUUUAAUCAACAAGGACACACUUGUAGUUCUUCUUUAAUAAAUAGUUAUACUUUACUGCAUAUACAUAUGCAUUGUAUAAAUAAGCCUAUAUAAAUUUUUAAGAAUUAAUAUUUGAUUUUAUGUUGAAAUUGCCUAAACUAUUUGAAUUUUGAUAAGAUUUUUCACUCAUAAAAAAAACCGGUUUAAGUUAAAUUUAUCGGAGUUAAUGCCCCAAAAACCAAACAACAAUAAUAAAAAGAAAAAAUCGAAAAAAUAUAUAUGUUAUAUCAAAUACCUUAUAAUAAUUGUAAAAUUAUAAUGGUGCGAUAUUGCUAAUAUUUAAAUACCGACCCACUUGGUAUUUUGGAUUCCAUGUCAAAUCGACAAAUAGUUGGACGCGACCCCCACUGAUUCGCUUCUAUUUUUUACACUUUUAAUAGUCUAAAAUAUUUGUUUUAUGUUAAUGGGAUGAAAAAUAAUAAUAAUAAAUAAACAAACAAAAAAUUAACAUAAGAAAAAGAUUUUAGACUUAAAAUUUCGAUAAUCAUGAGAUAGAAAUGAUAUUCAACAAAAAAGUUAAAAAUAUAAAAAAAAAACUAUUUUGCCAAAAUUCAAAAAUUCAUAUCUUUGAAACAAAAAAGAACACCCUUCUGAAAAUUUCAGAAUUCCUUUAGAUAUGUUAGAGGCCUAAUACGAUUUUCCAAAAUUCAAAGUUUUUUAAUUUUGGUAAUUUUCAAAAUUUUUUUUUUCAAAGCAAUUUUUUCCCCAUACUUCUAAGUGACCUUUGACAACUCACCAGCGUCCUUUGUUUAAUAUACAGUGGUUUCUGAAAUAUUAAAUAAAUAAACUCAUAAAAUCGGGAAAACAGUGACAUUUUCAAUUUCGUAUAGCUCUUAGGAAAAUUUUUUCAAAACUUUUUAUUUUGGCAGAACUUUGUUUUAUGAUAAGACAAAACUUUCCACCCAAAUUCAUUCGAAACGAUGGGGGUCGCGCCCAACUAUUUGUGGAUUUGACAUGGAAUGACCCAAGUGAGAUUCAUCGGUUUUGGAUCAACCCUACGACCUAGCUUUAAGUCCAAUAUUAAAUGAAUUAUUCUCUUAAGUUUAUGUACAAACAAUUAAAAAUUAUGAUUCGUUAAUAGUAGAAUUCAUACAUACAAACAUACAUACAUAUAUAAUGUGUACUAGUUUGGUUAAGAAUAAAGUAAAAUACUAAACUACAACAAAACACACAACGAAAAUCCAAUGGUGUAUAUACUCGUAAACAUAAAUUGUGUGUAAAGUGUAACAAAAAAAUAAAAAGAAAAAGUUGUAUUUAAAUGUUUUAAUUACCUGCAUUCGUUGUGCUUAAUAAUUGUCAACAAGAAUACGCGAAAAUGCAAAUAAGUUGCACUAGCACUAUUAACGCUGCCAUUUACGAGGGGCAGUAACAAGCAAAAAAGAAAAAGAAAAAGUGUAUGUAUGUAUUUUAAAAAUUAUGUAGCUUAAACUAAGGUAAUAUUUAAAGAAAAUUCUAUAUUAAAUAUAAAUACAUAAAUGCAAAUAUAUUCAGAAAAUGUAUAACCCUCGGCAUGCAAACAUAUAAUAAAACGAUAUUACUAUAAUGCAAAUAUGUGAAUACAUAUUUAUUUUAUAUGUAUAAAUAUGCUGAUAUGUAUAAAUAAUAUGAUAAUAAAUUAACCGUAAUUAACGUGUUUGUUUCGCUGGGUGUGUAAGUAAAUUAAUUCAAACACCAAGAUCACAGUUAAAAACAACAUCACAUUUAUAAAUCUAACAAAACGUACUGCAUACGAAACUAAUACGCAAUUUUUACCUAUUAAGGUAGGUUGUAAAGUUCUUAUUGUCGAUUUACUUCUUGAUAAGACUACUAUGAUUUCCUGGGAGCGUUAACACUGGUAAUUGUAAAGCUGACAGUAUAAUGUAUGGAUGGGUCUUAAGUGGUUUGGCUUUAACAGUUCAACUACCAGUACUUGUGCAGCUGCAAGAUCUUUUGCUCUGAUAAAAAGUUGAGUAUGCUCUUCGCUUUCAGCAAGAGAUUUUGUAUUUUUUUUAUUUGUAUGAGUCUUGAUUGGUCCCGCCUAUUUGAAAUCAAGGCUAAUACAUCUCGGAUCUCUACCACUAGGGAUUCUGGUAAGUUAGAAUAAAUGUAUAGUUUCACGGCGCUUUGUCAAUACUUAACAUCCAACUAUCACCUGUUGUUUGGCUUCAAAAAGGACAAUUUUUGGUAGUCCAAGUGAGAUCGAAUAAAAUCUCAACUAAUCUAACCAGGUAAAACUUCGCUAAUUAAGUUCAAUGAGAUAUUAUUUAAAGAUAACGGUUUGCAUUUGGUUAUUAUGUAAAUAAAUGCGAUUUGAAUUUAAUAUAAUUCUUUUGCGUAUACGAAAAACUUCAAAGUUAUACAAAAUUAAAAUUUGAUUUUUCAUACCCACUUUUUUUUGGUUAUAAUGCAAAAAUAAAAAGUUUAUAGUUAAAAAAAAACCUUGUAAUUCUGAAGGUUGUUAAGUUAUAUACGUUUAUAUAACAAGCAGACAUUGGAACAAUAAUAUUUUUGCUUGAAACAGCCAUCAGAAAACUGUGACGGGUGGGACCUUAGAUAUUUGAAAUUUUAAAGAAUUAUAAUUUUCAGAUUAUAUUAUGUAAAAUUUUGUAUAGAAAGUAAUUAAUAAUUUUGGUGAAGUACGUUGC